GAUGAACGCUGGCGGUAUGCUUAACACAUGCAAGUCGAACGGACUCUUCGGAGUUAGUGGCGGACGGGUGAGUAACGCGUGAGAAUCUGGCUUUGGGUUCGGGACAACCACUGGAAACGGUGGCUAAUACCGGAUGUGCCGAGAGGUAAAAGAGAACUUGCCUGAAGAUGAGCCCGCGUCUGAUUAGCUAGUUGGUGAGGUAAAGGCUCACCAAGGCAGCGAUCAGUAGCUGGUCUGAGAGGAUGACCAGCCACACUGGGACUGAGACACGGCCCAGACGCCUACGGGAGGCAGCAGUGGAGAAUGUUCCGCAAUGGGCGAGAGCCUGACGGAGCAAUACCGCGUGAGGGAAGAAGGCUCUUGGGUUGUAAACCUCUUUUCUUAGGGAAGAACAAAAUGACGGUACCUAAGGAAUCAGCAUCGGCUAACUCCGUG
rnacentral:rRNA from 1 species